rnacentral:rRNA from 1 species
CCGACCUCAGUUCAGGAGAGACUACCCCCGAGAU